rnacentral:rRNA from 1 species
GGGCCCGCACAAGCGGUGGAGCAUGUGGUUCAAUUCGACGCAACGCGAAGAACCUUACCUGGGCUCGAAGCGCAGUGGACCGGGGUAGAAAUAUCCCUUCCCCUUAAAAGGCUGCUGCGGAGGUGCUGCAUGGCUGUCGUCAGCUCGUGUCGUGAGAUGUUGGGUUAAGUCCCGCAACGAGCGCAACCCUUAUCCCUAGUUGCCAUCGGGUCAAGCCGGGCACUCUAGUGAAACUGCCUGGGAUAACCAGGAGGAAGGUGGGGAUGACGUCAAGUCCUCAUGGCCUUUAUGUCCAGGGCUACACACGUGCUACAAUGGUCGGUACAAACCGUCGCAAACCCGUGAGGGGGAGCUAAUCGGAAAAAGCCGGCCUCAGUUCGGAUUGGAGUCUGCAACUCGACUCCAUGAAGCUGGAAUCGCUAGUAAUCGCGGAUCAGAACGCCGCGGUGAAUACGUUCCCGGGCCUU